rnacentral:lncRNA from 1 species
UAUAAGUCAAUUGUAAGUGUAUUGAGAUGGAAUUUUUUUUAUAAUUUUUUAACUUAUGUAAUAAUAUUUAUUAUUUGAGAUAUUGAUUCAUCAUAUUAGCUGCAUCUUAUUAUAUCUAAGAUUAUGAUAAAUCCCAAAGAUUAGGGCAAUAGUUUUAGGAGACAUGAAUGGGUCAUGCUAAUAAGACCUAAAAUCCUAAAAUCCUAAUCUUAAAUAUUCC